UGCGGACGAACAAACAGGCAAUACACUCGGUCAUUCAUCAGACGUGUCUGCACGCGUUUAGGGAUCAUAUUUGUAAUGUCUGGUUAUAUAUGCUUUUAAAGCAUCUACAUUCAUGAUGGGCUAAUUCGGCCACUUCCGUCGUGGUUUUGACCCCUCAUUUUUUCUACAAAAUAACCACGUCCCCUAUUUUGAGCCCCCACUUUUGUUUCUACAUGUGAACAUUACAUCGAACACUCUGCGUGCCACGCUGUCUAAGCAAAUGGAGAGUACGCAGCGGCUCGCCGUUCGGUCUGCAGCACACGAAGCAGUAGCGGCAUCAUGCACGCGCGGCUCUGCAUGACUGGCUGCAUGCGAGGCUAGCGCACCGCGGCAGCACGCAGUGGGUGCUGCGG
rnacentral:lncRNA from 1 species